UACGAAGGGGGCUAGCGUUGCUCGGAUUGACUGGGCGUAAAGGGCGCGUAGGCGGUUUGUACAGUCAGACGUGAAAUUCCCGGGCUCAACCUGGGGGCUGCGUUUGAUACGUGCAGACUUGAGUUCGGAAGAGGGUCGUGGAAUUCCCAGUGUAGAGGUGAAAUUCGUAGAUAUUGGGAAGAACACCGGUGGCGAAGGCGGCGACCUGGUCCGAUACUGACGCUGAGGCGCGAAAGCGUGGGGAGCAAACGGG
rnacentral:rRNA from 1 species